ensembl:lncRNA
GUCAUAGAGUGUAAUAGCGUGUAUAGCUUGUACAUUGAUAGAAUUAAAAGGAUACAGAAGUAUGACAGAGCUCGUAUGCUGUCUCCAAUUGUGAGUUAUUUAAAUAAGCUGUGAAGGGCACAGUAUAGGGCAAGAGUAAUAUUUUCUUUUCAUUAGGAUAUCAGUCAUGGUGUUGCUAAUGUCUGUUUUAUUGGUUCUAUACAGUCAUUGACAUGUUCUGUUGGGUUGAUACUGUAUGUAGUAGAGAAUAGGAAUGUUGUAUAGCUUCCUCCCCGUCCUCUGUCAUGUUGUCUCCUCUAUAAAUUGAGGUAAAUGGUACAUUCCACUCCUUUUGCCCAGUGGCAGAAGACAUGAAUGAACUCCGAGCACGAGGAGAUGGGGGGGGAAAGUGAAUGUAUAUACUGUAACUCGGCGCGUGUUUCUUUAUGAAUGGGCAGUCUGAGCGGACAAUCUUAUUGGUUGAGAGAAGAGCAGGGUUUCUGAAUGGACAGUAGGGUUCAGUCGCUUGUGUUCAGAGUCACCUUCUGCGGUUGCCUGUGUUCAGAGUCACCUUCUGCGGUUGCCUGUGUUCAGAGUCACCUUCUGCGGUUGCCUGUGUUCAGAGUCACCUUCUGCGGUUGCCUGUGUUCAGAGUCACCUUCUGCGGUUGCCUGUGUUCAGAGUCACCUUCUGCGGUUGCCUGUGUUCAGAGUCACCUUCUGCGGUUGCCUGUGUUCAGAGUCACCUUCUGCGGUCGCCUGUGUUCAGAGCCACCUUCUGCGGUCGCCUUGUCCUCCCCCAGUUACCAGCUGUUCUGAAAGGUGUGUGUGUGUGUGUGUGUGUAUGUGUGUGUGUGUGUGUGUGUGUGUGUGUGUGUGUGUGUGUGUGUGUGUAAUGGAUGUCAGGGAGGUUUACCCUGUAAUGGAUGGGAUCAUUACUCUUUUAUGGAAUGUACAAUGUGUGGUUAAGGUUAGGGCAAUGGUUUAGGACCGCUAAUAAACAACUAUGCGCUAUUUCCAUCAGCUAUCAUCGUCUUCGUAUUCUCGCGGUUUGCUAACAUGUUGUGAACUGCCGUAGUAGCGGCAGUGGUCUGAGCAGUGCACUUUGGCUCUGAGCAUCAUGUGUUCGCGUCCAGUGCUGAGCAAUACUUUUUUCUACAAAUUUGUGAUUCUCCAAACAACGACGUUCUCAGGACAUUUUCAACCGUUCAGUCUAUUUCUAGUGAUCAGGAUGCUAGCUGCUUCUAUUCCUUCUCCCCGGGGUGUGACACGUCUUCAAUUGUAACAGCAUACUAACCUAAUUACUUUAGUGCUCCUGAACCACCACAGACAAACGUGAACAUUGGCCACACUAAAAUUAGGACUUAAUACUACCUGCCUAGACAGGAAGAUUAGGGAUCGCUCAGAAAGCAUGGUGUAUUCGCGUGUGUGUGUGUGUGUGUGUGACCCCUCCCUCUGAGGAAUGCAGUCACAGACAGACCCUCUCACAUACACCCGCGCACACACACCCUCUCACACCCUUUCACAUACACAAGCAUGCCCACCCACACUUGCACCCGCACACACACCCUCUCACACACACCCGCGCACACACCCUCUCUCACACACACACACACACACACCUUUUCUCUUUGUGUUACUGCAGUACAAUGAUAGCCACUCGUAUGGCUCCACCUCCAGAUUACUCUGGUUCUCUCACUCCCCAGUCCAACUGUCUGGUUCUCUCACUCCCCAGUCCAACUGUCUGGUUCUCUCACUCCCCAGUCCAUCUGUCUGGUUCGCUCACUCCCCCAGUCCAACUGUCUGGUUCUCUCACUCCCCAGUCCAACUGUCUGGUUCUCUCUCUCCCCCAGUCCAACUGUCUGGUUCUCUCUCUCCCCCAGUCCAACUGUCUGGUUCUCUCUCUCCCCCAGUCCAACUGUCUGGUUCUCUCUCUCCCCCAGUCCAACUGUCUGGUUCUCUCUCUCCCCCAGUCCAACUGUCUGGUUCUCUCUCUCCCCCAUCCAACUGUCUGGUUCUCUCUCUCCCUCAGUCCACCUGUCUGGGUCUCUCACUCCCCAGUCCAAAUGUCUAGCCAACAGCUCACACAAUACUUUAUUUGGUUGUUUACUGAGGUCAAGCGUGUGUGUGUGUGUGUGUGUGGGGGGUGCGCGCGUUGGUGAUAAAAGUCAGUCAUAAACUUAGUCGCUUUAGCCUGUCAAUUAAAUUACCUAUCUUUCUGUGCUUAUCGUGCCUGCGUGUCCGGUCUGUGUGUGUGUUUGUGUGUAGGUGUGUGUGUGUGUGUGUGUUUGGGUAGGUGUGUGUGUGCUUAUCGUGCCUGCGUGUCCGGUGUGUGUGUGUGUGUGUGUGUGUGUGUGUGUGUGUGUGCUUAUCGUGCAUGCGUGUCCGGUGUGUGUGUGUGUGUGUGUGUGUGUUUGUGUGUAGGUGUGUGUGUGUGUGUGCUUAUCGUGCCUGCGUGUCCGGUGUGUGUGUGUGUGUGUGUUUGUGUGUAGGUGUGUGUGUGUGUGCUUAUCGUGCCUGCGUGUCCGGUGUGUGUGUGUGUGUUUGUGUGUAGGUGUGUGUGUGUGUGUGUGUGUGUGUGUGUGUGUGUGCUUAUCGUGCCUGCGUGUCCGGUCUGUGUGAUAGUCCUGAUAUUGUCGGUAUGAUGCAUAGCCGGUAUCUUGAUGGUUGAGAUUAGAUUCUCAGGGGGAAUCUGCUCUCUUUCUGAUCUCCAUAUCUACAUACUCUUACCUGUCCUACUUGGCAAAGUCUCACAGAUGGACAUUUUGCCAUGACAAAGUGUUUUGCUGGUACUGGUAGGAUUUAAUCAUUUGAUGUUGGUCAUCAGUUCACCGUGCAGUGAGUGUGUUGGCGCUAUCUUUGAUGACAUCACUAUGUGAGGCUCUUCUCACUACACUCUUUUUUUAAAAGCAUUCCAAAGGGCUUCUUCUGGUGUCCCCAUAGGAGAACCCUUUUUGG